CGCCGCGCCCGGCGCGAUCGGUGCCGCUUACACACGACUGCUGACGAUAACUUACGAACGCGAUUGAAGAGAUCGUUUAUUUGAUCGAAAUCCAUUGUAAGAAAUUUAAAUCACUCCUUGACGUAUCGAAAAUGCCCAUUAGAAGUUUCUCGACGAUCGUACGAUGGAAACUAUUUGACGUGAAAAUUGAAAUUCACUUCAUCGCAAUCUAUUAACGUAAGGCAGUUGAAAUUGCAAUUGAUCGUCUCGGGGGUGCUUUAUUGAUUUUUGCGAGACCGCUGUUCCAAUUGCCUUUGUCGAGCGCGUGCAUCUCUUCGCCGACUCCGACUGGAGAACGGUAGGCGUUCAACAAAUGUUAUAAUAGUGGUUUCAAAGUUAUCCCAGUCAAUUUUGUUACCCAUUAACCUACUAGAUUUGUCACUCGCUACCUAUCACAUACCAUAACUACAAUUCCGUUACCACUGAGAAACGCUAAUAGAAAGAAAAUUACAAAACUUUUGUUCAUAUCAACUAAUUUCUUGUUUCCUUCUAAUAAAAAACUUUAUUUAAUGUGUAUUAAUGUAUAAAAAAUGUGUAUCAACUUGACAAGAGCUGUAAAUUUUCAUUUAGUUACAUGUACAAUUUGUAAAUUGCAGAAUACUUCAAUUGUUUAAUACAAUACAAACUACACGUUACAAUUCGUAUGUGCUUAUUUUUAUACAUGUCCAUGUAAUAUCUGAAUAUAAACAUUUGGUUAAUCAAGUUCAUUAUUACAGACAUGUGAAAAGUAACCCUUUGAUGCACAUCUCAUGACUGUAGUUUCUUUUAAAACGGAUUAUUUUUAAUCAAUGUAAAAUAAUCGACUUAAAUAGUAAUAUUUGAUUGUAUUCAGUGAAUUUCAAAUAAGUUUCAAUUAGAAACGACAAUUUUAAGUUUGAUUUAUUGUUAAUUAAAAACUACAGUGUGUAUGUUUGUAUGAAUUACUUUUGUUAUUGUAUCAUGAAAUGUUUCUCAGUGAGUUUAUCUAACACCAUGUGGAGUUUGUGUUGUAGAGAGUUUUGUUAAGAGCACAAUAUUACUUUAAAAAUAGAAAUGUAUUCGUUUAAAUGUAAAUCCGUUGAAAGAAUGUCUUUAGUGUAAAACAGAUCCAUUCAUAUGUAUAAUUUAUAGUGCUGGUGUUUGUAAAAAUAAAACAUGUAGCGUUACAGCGCGCUUAAUUAUCUUAUUGUAUAGUAGUCUACUUUACUAUUUGAAUUUAAGUACCCUUGAUGUCGAGCGGUCGAUGGCGGGAAAUGUGGCGUGAAUUAUAUGUUAAAAUAAUUGCGGCGCCCGCGUGACAGUGGCCCGAUCUAUAAAAAUGUAAAUAUUGACUUAAAAUAUUAAAUCAUACGCUCAACUAAUAUCUCGGAAAACCAAAAAGCUAUCUUUGGUUUAAAUGCGUUAUCGCUAGCUUAAUAGUAUAGGCUUGUGGUUUUCGAAGAUGUUGUUUAAGGGUUUGUUAAUUUUAAAUUAAUAUUUAUAUUUCUGUACGUUUGGCCACUUUUGUGCGGGUCGUCCGAUAUAAAUAAUUAAAUAGGUGAUGUUUUCACAAGUGACGUCACUUUGUGAUGGCGGGGCGCGGGAAGCGUUUAAAUUUUAAGUCACCGCAAUUUUAGGUUCUUGCCCCUCACCGUCGGGCCACCUCACACCGUCGCAGACGAGAGAGAGAGAGAGUGAGAGAGGUCGGUGUGAGGUGGGUCGCCGGCUCGCCCGCGCUAUUUAUGCUGGUAUGUUCAUUAUGCGCGGCCGGACGGCGCGAUUUACUGUUGUAUGUAACUUACGAUGUAUCAAAGACACUUUAGACCUCAUUAAACAGCAUACCUUUGCUAUACGGCAGUUUUAUUUCAAAACUCACCAUCGACUGGCGGGAACGAAUGGACAUACCACCAUAAUGGGACUGGUAACCGAACAAGGAGCAGAGUAUGGCUUUGCUCUCCUAAACUUUUUCUAUCUGUUGUAUCAUAGAGCCUAGUUUUUUUUUUAUUUCGUAGAUCAAAUGCUAAAAGGUUCCAUUUUUUAACUUUUAAAACGUAAUUUUUUAAAUGUUUUUCUGAUUUUACGUAUUUGGACCUGCUUUCCAUGAACAAAUAAAAUUGAGCACAACGUACACAUUGACGGGCGUUCUCGUUGCUACGUAUCUUGUGUAGAACAAUAGCAUUUAGUUUUUAUGACAGAAUUGUUGGAUAUAUUUACGUAAAUUAAUAUAUACGCAUGACUAAGUCACAUAAAAGUAUUAAUUUUUUUUUAUAUUACGCGUUUUGAAGGCACCGCAUCUGUUCUGUCAUAAAUAUUGAGACGUGCAUUUCGAGAUUGAUUUAUUAAAAUUCUCCUGUUCUUGUGCCACAGUACCUGUAUUACAUGGAAUAAAUUGUUUCACAAGCGUGGAGCUUUAAUAGUUUCUUUUAAUUCGUUUUUUUUUUACUUAUAUAAUUUAGGUAGACGUGUAAAUACCUAAAGACGAGGUGUUACUUGUUAUCCUUCAAUGAGCACGAAUUAUUUCACUGCGAUAUAAAUCAAAUACACUGGGAAAUACUUGGUAGAUAAUAAAAUUUACAACUUUAAAUGUUACUUUCUGAACAUAUGUACAAGUUUCUAGUAUUGUGGUCAAUUUUAACUGCUGAACUUUACCACGAUUACUUUUAAUUUAGUUGCAUUUUUAAUGAAAUUAAAGUAAUAGGUUCAGUUAAAUAUAAUUCCAUGUAUGUUUAAGAUUCGGGCGAUGUUUGGAAUGUUCCCCAAGCUAACGAAGCAUAAGAUUACAUUUCCAAGACAGCACUACGAUUGUUUAAUAAAAGCGUGUGUAAUAUUGAUACAAAGAAUUACCCACCAAUGACAUCGGAAGCCACACGUUUCUUUAAGUAUUAAGUGUGUAAGUUAGGUAAACAAAUAAAUCCUAAAAACUACAAAAAAAAAAUAUGUAUGAACUUGAGCUUCAUUUGUGUGAAAUAAAAUAUAAAUUUGAACUUAAUGAUGUAAGCGUAGGGUUUUAUUUCUUUAGUUAUCUCACACAAUCGAAGCUCAUUAUAUUUAAUUAUUAAGGCUUUCUUGGCAAUCCGUUUUGUGUAUAAUGCAACAUUCAGGAGUAUUCGGGCAAGUAUAAUAAACUUUUAUACGGAGCGAGUGUUGUGUAAGAAAGAGCAAAUACAAAGUUGUGUCUGAUAUAUAUUGAUAUAUACACAUUAUACGGUUAUAUUUAAAGUUAAAAAUCGACAAAAUUAUGCAAUAAUGAAAGUGGAAACAAAAAACAGUUUAUUCUUUCAACUCUGUACUAUGGCCGUUGAUAGGUAUUAGAUAAUAAAUAAAAUUAAAUAUA